rnacentral:rRNA from 1 species
ACGAGCCUGCGAAGGCAAGCGGAUCUCUUAAAGCUGUUCUCAGUUCGGACUGCAGUCUGCAACUCGACUGCACGAAGCUGGAAUCGCUAGUAAUCGCGGAUCAGCACGCCGCGGUGAAUACGUUCCCGGGCCUUGUACACACCGCCCGUCACACCAUGGGAGUCGGUAACACCCGAAGCCUGUAGUCUAACCGCAAGGGGGACGCAGUCGAAGGUGGGAUUGAUGACUGGGGUGAAGUCGUAACAAGGUAAC